GAUGAACGCUGGCGGCGUGCCUAAUACAUGCAAGUCGAGCGAACAGACGAGGAGCUUGCUCCUCUGACGUUAGCGGCGGACGGGUGAGUAACACGUGGAUAACCUACCUAUAAGACUGGGAUAGCUUCGGGAAACCGGAGCUAAUACCGGAUAAUAUAUUGAACCGCAUGGUUCAAUAGUGAAAAACGGUUUUGCUGUCACUUAUAGAUGGAUCCGCGCCGCAUUAGCUAGUUGGUAAGGUAACGGCUUACCAAGGCAACGAUGCGUAGCCGACCUGAGAGGGUGAUCGGCCACACUGGAACUGAGACACGGUCCAGACUCCUACGGGAGGCAGCAGUAGGGAAUCUUCCGCAAUGGGCGAAAGCCUGACGGAGCAACGCCGCGUGAGUGAUGAAGGUCUUCGGAUCGUAAAACUCUGUUAUUAGGGAAGAACAAAUGUGUAAGUAACUAUGCACGUCUUGACGGUACCUAAUCAGAAAGCCACGGCUAACUACGUG
rnacentral:rRNA from 1 species